GAGACCCCAGAGCUGGACACAGCACUUCAGAUUGGCGCUUGGAAAAAUCAUUAAGCAGCGGUGACCAGAGGGAAUCAUGCAGCUCAUCAUAUCUUUGUCAUCACAGCUAUUGAUCAGAGCCACAAUGAAAAUGUGCCAACAAUUCUAAACAACACCAGGCGAGAGCCGAUGAAACCAAAGGUCGUUAAGAGCCCCAAUGCUUGAUUCGGGUUUAGAAGGCACAGAUGACUGGGAGCAGUCCCUGAGACACCAUUUGGUUGUAACUUAGAAACAGUGAGGGAUUUCUGUAAUAUAUCUGUGAUUGCUUUGUUGAGCGUAGGGAUCGGCAUGAGAUUCUGCUCAGUCUAUUAUACAGACAGUGUAACCAGAAUAAAUCAAAAUUGUUUAAAAAAAAAUCUAAUAAAGUACUUUUUCAGCUGUGACUUGUAAGUGUCACCAUGAUGGAUGGCACCACAAUCCAUUAUGCAAAGACAAGGCUCUUAACAUGAAAUUUUAGAAUUCAAUUUUACGAUUUACAGAGAGGGCCCCCCUUAUAUUUACGGCACAGCAGUCUGUUUUGAUUCAAUCUCUGCGUAAUUGAAACCAGGGCCAGGGAUCAUGGUUAGUCCUCCGGCCGCUUUUUAAAAGGGGAGGAGAAAUAACCACCUAUAACAUUAAUAAUGGAGCUAAAGAGAUUGCUUUGCUUGUUAAAUCUCACUCACUUUGUCUCCUCGCCCUGGUGGCACUGACAAAUGUGGGGAAUACGGACACGGUGCCUCCAUGCCAGGGAUGUGUUUGAUGGGAUAAAAUCUGGCUGCCAUGUGGGCAGCAGCAUCCUCCAUCCCAUAGUGAGCCUGGCUUGGGGCAUUUUUGCUCCUGUUGUUACAGUCCUCCAGAGGAUAGAAGUUUUUCAGCACCUCUUUUUAUUAUAAUCACUCAUUUUAUUAUGAUCACUAAAUAGUCCCCUGUUACACCAAAGAAUUUUCAUGAGUUUU